UACGUAGGGUGCGAGCGUUAAUCGGAAUUACUGGGCGUAAAGCGUGCGCAGGCGGCUUUGUAAGUCAGAUGUGAAAUCCCCGGGCUUAACCUGGGAAUGGCAUUUGGGACUGCAAGGCUUGAGUGCGGCAGAGGAGACUGGAAUUCCUGGUGUAGCAGUGAAAUGCGUAGAUAUCAGGAGGAAUACCGAUGGCGAAGGCAGGUCUCUGGGCUGACACUGACGCUCAUGCACGAAAGCGUGGGGAGCGAACAGG
rnacentral:rRNA from 1 species